rnacentral:rRNA from 1 species
AUUGAACGCUGGCGGCAGGCUUAACACAUGCAAGUCGAACGAGUGGCGGACGGGUGAGUAAUGCUUGGGAAUCUAGCUUCUGGAGGGGGAUAACUACUGGACACGGUAGCUCAUACCGCAUACCAUCAGAUGAACCCAUAUGGGAUUAGCUUGUAGGUGAGGUAACGGCUCACCUAGGCGACGAUCCCUAGCUGGUCUUAGAGGAGGAUCAGCCAAACUGUGAUUGUGACACGGCCCAGACUCCGACGUGAGGCAGCAGUGGGGAAUAGUGCACAAUGGGCGCAAGCCUGAUGCAGCCAUGCCGCGUGUAUGAAGAAGGCCUUCGGGUUGGAAAGUACUUUCAGUCGGGAGGCGUUACCGACAGAAGAAGCACCGGCUAACUCCGGGCCAGCAGCCGCGGUAAUUC